AAAAUGCAUCCUUUUCAGGUUUGACAUGGCCAGUAUCAUCACACGAAACAUAAUAUUGCAACACUGUCAUUGGGAAUUGUCUGCAACACAGACAGAUGCUUCCUCACCGUUGGCAUAUGGGAACUAACACAUUCAACCUGAAAAUGAACCUGAGUAGUUACAGCUGAACUGUGCUGCUGCAUGUGUUGGAAACCUCUCCUUCACCUAAGUAAUCCUGAUGCUUCUUGCUCCAUCUAGUUAGCUCCAAAGCUUUGAAAUUAAUACUGGCAAGUCAAAGUCAGUGCAGAACCGCUGUGCUCAUUGCUGGCUGAAUAAACAGCAGAGAAGAAAAGGGCCA
rnacentral:lncRNA from 1 species